GAUGAACGCUGGCGGCAUGCCUAAUACAUGCAAGUCGAACGAGAGGAAGGAAAGCUUGCUUUUCUGAAUCUAGUGGCGAACGGGUGAGUAACACGUAGGUAACCUGCCCAUGUGCCCGGGAUAACUUCUGGAAACGGAUGCUAAAACCGGAUAGGUAGCAGACAAGCAUUUGACUGCUAUUAAAGUAGCUAAGGCCAUGAACAUGGAUGGACCUGCGGUGCAUUAGCUAGUUGGUGAGGUAACGGCCCACCAAGGCGACGAUGCAUAGCCGGCCUGAGAGGGCGGACGGCCACAUUGGGACUGAGACACGGCCCAAACUCCUACGGGAGGCAGCAGUAGGGAAUUUUCGUCAAUGGGGGGAACCUUGAACGAGCAAUGCCGCGUGAGUGAGGAAGGUCUUCGGAUCGUAAAGCUCUGUUGUAAGAGAAAAACGACAUUCAUAGGGAAUGAUGAGUGAGUGAUGGUAUCUUACCAGAAAGUCACGGCUAACUACGUGCCAGCAGCCGCGUAA
rnacentral:rRNA from 1 species